rnacentral:rRNA from 1 species
GAUGAACGCUGGCGGUAUGCCUUACACGUGCAAGUCGAACGGAAAUUACCUUCGGGUAAUUUUAGUGGCGGACGGGUGAGUAACACGUGAGAAUUUGCCUUUAGGAGGGGGAUAACUAGUGGAAACACUAGCUAAAACCCCAUAUGCCCACGGGUGAAAAAGAGAAAGAAGGAAUAACCAUAAAUUCUCUGCCUGAAGAGAAGCUCGCGGCUGAUUAGCUAGUUGGUAGGGUAAUGGCCUACCAAGGCGACGAUCAGUAGCUGGUCUGAGAGGACGAUCAGCCACACUGGAACUGAGGCACGGUCCAGACUCCUACGGGAGGCAGCAGUGAGGAAUUUUCUGCAAUGGGCGAAAGCCUGACAGAGCAAUACCGCGUGAGGGAAGAAGGCUUACUGAGUUGUAAACCUCGGUGCCUUAAGGAAGAAGAUCUGACGGUACUUAAGGUGGAAAGCAUCGGCUAACCCCGUGCCAGCAGCCGCAGUAACAC